GGGACCAUUUAUGAAAACCUCAGCUGAAAGCAGUUAACCUGUGGGCUGGGGUUGGAUGGCUAGAGUCUC
rfam:Branchiostoma floridae genomic scaffold BRAFLscaffold_104, whole genome shotgun sequence.